rnacentral:rRNA from 1 species
AUGAGCGGCUGCGCCGCCAGCACCGUCGCUGGCUUCCUCUGCCGCCGCCGUCGCCGACGCAGCGAUGGCGACCGGGAAGACCGCGGCGAGGCAGAGGCGGAAGAGGAGUGUGGCGAGGAAGACGAACAGCAGGACGCCCUGCACGAACGACUCCACGCCGCCGGUGUCCGAGUGACUCGAGCUGUACAUGUACCAGGAGUCAAGAUAAUACGUCGGGACGGCCGUGGACGCGAGCUCCACGGCGGUGACCAGCGCGGCGCCGGCGAAGAGGCCGGGGUGUGCUGCGGACGAGCUCGGCCGGUCGCCGCGAAGCAUGGCGCAGGCGGCGAGCGCGACGUCGGACAGAGUCGCGAGCUUGCUGGCGAGGUACGCUAG